GCUCGUGGAUCGAUGAAGACCGCAGCUAAAUGCGCGUCAGAAUGUGAACUGCAGGACACAUGAACACCGACAAGUUGAACGCAUAUUGCACAUCGUACAACACCGUACGAUGUACACAUUUUUGAGUGCCUAUAUUUAUCUAUUCAACUAUACGUGUGCCACCCACCCGGUGCGCGCGUAUGCGUAGUGAUGUUUGCCCGCCUUCGGUGGCGGUCAAACAUUUAAGAUAGUCAAGCGUGCGACGGUCAUAGUUGCGCGAUUGAUGAAUACAUCCCACCAGACGUCCGCAUCCCGUGGCGCUAGUGUUGUAUUCCAUCAGAGGGAGAGAGAGAGAGACAGUAUAGCAUAUCUAGUAGGCCUCAAAUAAUGUGACUACCCCCUAAAUUUAAGCA
rnacentral:rRNA from 1 species